ensembl:lncRNA
UGUGGGCUCACAAUUACUUCGUUCUCAAGAGAUGAUUCCUUACGAAGCUUCAGGACAAUUUUACAUAUUCAAUUUCUAUUCUUACUUCAGAAAAAAUACUCUUUUCUUGUUCUGGUGAAGGAGAAAUCUAUCGCGUGGGACAAUGAGGGGGAAAAAACAAUGCAUGUGAUGCUGGCUGAAGAAGGUUACUAAGCUACUGCUGUAUUCAGCAGGGUGCUCAAUGGCAGCGGGAGUAGAACAUGGGUUCAGAGACCACCUUUAUUGUUGAAGUAUACAUGAAGGGUCAGAUAAUUCAUCUAUUGCAGACGACCAAGAAGCAUUCCUCAAGCAUUUUCUCUCUGGAUAUAUCUCCCUGCAUUCACAAUCCUCUUCUAUAGAAUGAAUUUUAGUGGAGACCUGAAGAAAAAGAUUGCAGCGCACCAAAAUGGCAUACAUCACAUGGGAAGGACUCCAGGCAACAGGGGUGGUCACAAAGUGUCAGUAGAGCACAAGUGGAGGGAUUGAAGCCUCCUGCAGAAGGAAGCUCCCUCUGGGAGGUGAAACAAAGGAUCCCAUGGCCAUUGCCACCACCACACUUCCAGCUGAUGCUGCAAGCCCAGCUGUAGCCCAUAGCAGGGAGGUCUAAAUCUCACCUUUCAGUGGGAGGGUACACCAUUAUAAAUUAACAAAAUAAAUGCCCUGGACAUAGUAGAUAUCUGCCCAAAUUAUGAAGCAUUGAUUUCAAUAGUUAUUAUCAGAGCAGCCGUG